rnacentral:lncRNA from 1 species
UUUGUUCAGGAAGGAGAGCUCUGCUUGGAGAAGGAAGGCACUGGGCUCACAGCCAGCUGUUUUCUAGGCGCUGUUCCUUCUACUCCAGGAGGACCCUGUGCGUGUUAUAGCAUAGUGACCCUCAUAUCUACGUUCAUAUCUAUAAUUAUCCAGAUAUAAGUGUGUUGACCAUAUCAAAAGUUUUAUUUAAAAAUUACCCUUUCAAAGGAGCAGGAAAAAUACCUUUUCCUUUCCGCUUCCCAAACUAUAUGUCUUUCAUAAUUAUAUUUGUGUACCCUGAAACUAAAAAAACACACUGCAUUCCUUAACAACUGAGAUGAUUGUAAACAGCAAUACAAUGUACAGAGCACACACUGUUUUUGUUUUGGUUAAAAUAUCUGCUCCUUCUGUGGAAUUUUUCUAUCCUGUUUAAUGGUAUCAUUCUUAAGUUAUCCAAGCUAAAAGAAUCCUAGAAGCUCUGCCCUAAAUGCCUUCCUCCCCCUUGUUCCUCAUCUUCUAUUGUUCAUGAAUGAUGAGAACUUCUAUCUUCCUAUCAUAUUUCAUUAGCUCUCUUCUUUUAUCUUCUUCUCUGUAAUGACCUUCAUUUGGGAAUUUAUUGUCUCUGCCCUGGGAUAUUGCAGUUGUCUCCUUAAAUAUUUUUGUUGUUUUCUAACUUGUCUUCACCCUUUGCCCCUCACCAUCAAAUUAAUCUCCUGGAUAGUCUACAGAUAGUUCUUUCUAGAAUGCAAAUCUGAUCAUGUUUAGCGCCUAAAAUAAUAAUGUGUAGGAGCUCCCGAAUAAUGUUUAGCUCCUAUUUAAAGUUUUUAAUGGCUUCCCUACUCCCUAAAGGGCAAAACCCAAACUUAGUUUCAUGUCAUACAAUGACCUUGACCUAUCUAUCCUUUGUCUAUAUGUAAUCUGGUAUUUCUUUCACAUAUUCUGUUGCAGCCACUCUAAGCUAGGUCUUCCAACACAUCACAUUACACCCUGCCCUCCCAUUCUGAGGAACUUUUACAUACACAAUACCCAGCUCAAACAACAGUUUAUUUUUUUCUGGCUCAACCUUAUACUUUCCUGGCUUUGCUCUUGUAAAGGGAACCGGUCAUUUCUUCCUAAGUGAUACCAGUACAUUUAGAAUCCAUUGGUGCACUAAAAUUUGUCUUCCCCAUGACUGCGAGUAGAGACUAGAUCAUUUCUAUCUUGAUAUAUCCUCUGUUUAGCACUGACCUGGCAUAUGGAAUAUGCUCUAUAGAUGUUGGCGAGGUGAGUAAAAUUCAAGCUUAUACCAGAACAUUAUAAUUGUUCUUUUAAAGACAUCUUUUAUUGUUUUAUUUGGCUCAUAACAAUAUUACCCAACCAUUGUAAAAACUUCAGAAAAGCUACAAAGUGUGAAUGCUUUAGUUCUUACCAAUCUAUGAGUAAAAAUGGAAUCUAGAUGUUUUGUGCCUUGCUUUUAAGGCCCUUGUUGAUUCCCUUUCUCUUAUAACUAGGAAUCCUCAAAAAGGUAUAUUCUGUGUUUCAGAAUAGGCCUAUUGUUGCUUGUUACCAUGGCUAACAAGACAGGGCUCCCAUAAUCAAGCCAGAACUCGGCUAUUGUCCCUGAAAGUUUCACUGAGGUGCCACUUCACCUGCAAACAAUUCCAAGCUGCAGCCUCUAUAAUGUCUUGGUACUAGGAAGGUUGAAACUUGAUUUCUCCUUCUCAGUACUGGAGGAGCUGGCACUUUGCCAUGCAGGUGAGACUAUGGUACUUGACUGCUGCAUCUCAGAGCUGGUUGAUUACGGAAUGACAUGUGUCAUUAGUUAAGUGGUCCCAUAGUAUGUUGUUCCUUAUCCCCCAUGUAAUAAUGAAUAAUCAUCCUUUGCAAUAGAACAAAAAAUAGAAAAACUGGACUCCACUUACUGAAUAGCCUAAUUGAUUUUCCUAAUUUGCACGAUUAGCUCUAUUGUCUUUAGUAAUAAAUGGCUCACCACUAUGAAAGAUAAAGUUUGUGAUUACUUUUGCUAAUUAUGAAAAACUUCUGAAGCAAACAGUUGAGUUAGCAAGUCCUGACAGCUAAUGUAUAAUUUGUUCUUUCAGGAAAUGUUUUAUGUUAUACUUUUACCAAUGCAUUAAAGUAAGUUAAACUGAAUUGUACAUGACUCAGGUGGAAAUUAUUGAAUUUACUUUUUUUCUCCUGGAUAGCCUGAGUUUCAUUUUGCCUGGCUGUGUAUCUGAUAUUACUGUGCUGCUUUACUUGUAUAGACAUAGUCUGAGUGUUUUUGGAGAUAGGUGUUCCAUGAGUAAAACCUGGAUACAGACAAAUGAAAGUUCUUUAACAAUCGUAAGUAAAUGCUUAUUACACUUUUGUUGUAGAUUCAGAUAAAAUUAUCUUUUCAUAGCUAAUGAUACCUGUAUAAUGGGUAGCAACAACUGGUAUUUC